rnacentral:lncRNA from 1 species
GGAGGAUCUGCUGGGCUGUCUCCUAACAAAGGAAAAACAGCAUGGAGGAACAGGGAGCUUCUUUUAUAGGAGUGGGGUGGAGUUAACCUGAGCUGGGGUGGAGUUGAGUGAGGUAGCAUUAAGAGAUUGGGGAGCCUGUGACAUCACUAGGAGGGUCUUGUGACAUCACUGGUUACCUGGAGGUAGCAAGUAUCAGGUUACUCUUUUGGCAUGAAGAGAGGCAUGAUAGGAAGAAGGCUGUCCCUUGGUAGGAGAAGCCAUAUUUAACAUCUAGACUUAUUCCAUGUGGCAGCCAUUUUAAAGCACAGAGAAUUAUGGGAAUGAAGCUACUGUUUUACGUAGCAGCCAUCUUGAGGCAAGGGAAUCUAACACCACCUUCCUUUGAGAAGUCAGGCAGCACUAGGUAGGGUAGGCAUCUACACUGAGCGUGAGAGUGGAUAUCUUUUUAUGCCCAAAAGCAACUCCUGAGUUCUGAGGAACUAGGGUAAUUAUGAGACUAUGGACAGUUUUGUUAGAGGUUACAUUGGAGUUGCAAAAUGUCUUCCUGGUUCCUUUCAGAAAGUCUUUAAUCAUGCCAUCAGUGGGGCGACCAAGUAUUCCAUGUGAUGGCUCUGGAGAGAGACAGCUCUGCAUCCACAUGAAAGUGCACAGCGUAGAGCUGGAAGACGUUGCUGUGCUCUGGGGGGCUGCUUCAGGUCUGACACCUAACAGGUGAUUAUAAUGCUUUAUGCCCUGAGGUCUUUGUCUCUUCCUUGAACAACAACUGGUGCAGCAGCUACUUGAAAUCUAUUCUGUCCUUCUGGCCUGCCAAUGUCUAACUGCCUAACACAAAGGCAGAUUCUCCCUCUGACCUCUUCCUUUGUUUUGUUUUCACCUCUGCUACUUAAAAUCUGGAUUUUCUGUUCAAGGCCCUGGAGGUCCUCUUGACUAGUAAGGAGGUCACCGGCCAUGGCACAGGCUGGCAACAAUAUCUUACUGGCACUGUGGGGCCGAGCCUUCAUGAUGUGGCUUUACCAGCUAAGUCCAGAUUUUACAUGAGAGAAAAAUAAAGUUGUCUAGCUUAUGGCACAGAUAUUUUGGCUUAGAGUCAUGUCUAAUCUUAACAAUAUGAGAAUAUUGCUUAAGGUCAUGCAGCUGGUAAGUGGCAGGAAGGCCCUAGUCCAAACCCCAGUUUGUCUGAUUUGAAAAGGCCCAGUUCUAUUGCCGUAGUGUUAUACUGACCUGGGAGUAAAGAAAGACUCUUCACAAUAUUAGGUAUUUCAAGCAGGUCCACUUGAUCUUGGAAUACAGUCGCUAUUUUGUUUCCAGUUACUCUGUCCUCCUAAUUACAUUUGACUCUGGCUGAUAUUAAAUUGGGAUCUAUACUCCAAGCACGUGCAUGUGGGUUUUGGCAGGAGGAAGGGUCCCCAGAAGGCCUGUCUGACCUUCAAUUCUUGUUAGAUGCCUGGAC